AAUACAGAUAGAGGCUCGACAGGUGAACCAAUUAUCUACUCUGGGAAACAGCUGCACUUGUUUGCUGAGAACAGCAAACACACAGCUCAGAGGAAGACGGCCUUCAAUGUUUCUCCUGCAUCCAGCAACUUUCAUGGUAACCAUCGCAAAGGAAAUCAUGUGGAGGAGGUAGAAAUAUUUGUGAACAGCCCCAAGCUGGACCUUCUGCCGGCCCACACUUAGGGCUGCAUCCUAUAACAUGUGGAUGUUUGCCAGGCUGCGGAUCAGGGCCUGACUCAGGCCGGACAGUUCCAGGAACAGGGCCUCAUUCCUCUCCUCGAUUUGUUUGUUCUCCUCCUCCAUGUUCUUCAGGUUCUUCUCCAUUGAGGAAAUCUGUGGCAGAGACAGUCACAGUCCUGAGGCAGCAACACAG